GGCCCUAUAGUUAAAUGGAUAUAACGAGCGUUUCCUAAACGCUAAUUGCAGGUUCGAUUCCUGCUGGGGCUA
rnacentral:tRNA from 1 species